rnacentral:rRNA from 1 species
GUGCCAGCCGCCGCGGUAAUACGUAGGUGGCGAGGCGUUGUCCCGGAUUUUUUGGGCGUAAAAGGGUGCGGUAAGGCGGAUGUUUAAGUUGGGAUUGUGAAAUCCCCCGGGGCUUUAACCUGGGGGCUGCAUUCCAAACUGGAUAUCUAGAGUGCAGGAGAGGAAAGCGGAAUUCCUAGUGUAGCGGUGAAAUGCGUAGAGAUUAGGAAGAACACCAGUGGCGAAGGCGGCUUUCUGGACUGUAACUGACGCUGAGGCACGAAAGCGUGGGUAGCAAACAGGAUUAGAUACCCUGGUAGU